rnacentral:rRNA from 1 species
GACGAACGCUGGCGGCGUGCCUAAUACAUGCAAGUAGAACGCACAGUUUAUACCGUAGCUUGCUACACCAUAGACUGUGAGUUGCGAACGGGUGAGUAACGCGUAGGUAACCUGCCUGGUAGCGGGGGAUAACUAUUGGAAACGAUAGCUAAUACCGCAUAAUAUUAAUUAUUGCAUGAUAAUUAAUUGAAAGGUGCAAUUGCACCACUACCAGAUGGACCUGCGUUGUAUUAGCUAGUAGGUGAGGUAACGGCUCACCUAGGCGACGAUACAUAGCCGACCUGGGAGGGUGAUCGGCCACACUGGGACUGAGACACGGCCCAGACUCCUACGGGAGGCAGCAGUAGGGAAUCUUCGGCAAUGGACGAAAGUCUGACCGAGCAACGCCGCGUGAGUGAAGAAGGUUUUCGGAUCGGAAAGCUCUGUUGUAAGAGAAGAACGGGUGUGAGAGUGGAAAGUUCACACUGUGACGGUAUCUUACCAGAAAGGGACGGCUAACUACGUG